AUUGAACGCUGGCGGCAUGCCUUACACAUGCAAGUCGAACGGUAACAGGUCUUCGGACGCUGACGAGUGGCGAACGGGUGAGUAAUACAUCGGAACGUGCCCGAUCGUGGGGGAUAACGAGGCGAAAGCUUUGCUAAUACCGCAUACGAUCUACGGAUGAAAGCGGGGGAUCUUCGGACCUCGCGCGGACGGAGCGGCCGAUGGCAGAUUAGGUAGUUGGUGGGAUAAAAGCUUACCAAGCCGACGAUCUGUAGCUGGUCUGAGAGGAUGAUCAGCCACACUGGAACUGAGACACGGCCCAGACUCCUACGGGAGGCAGCAGUGGGGAAUUUUGGACAAUGGGCGAAAGCCUGAUCCAGCCAUGCCGCGUGCAGGAUGAAGGCCUUCGGGUUGUAAACUGCUUUUGUACGGAACGAAAAGCCUCUUUCUAAUAAAGAGGGGUCAUGACGGUACCGUAAGAAUAAGCACCGGCUAACUACGUG
rnacentral:rRNA from 1 species